ACUGAACAUUGAGCCUUGAUGUGUAGGAUAGGUGGGAGGCUUUGAAGUGUGGACGCCAGUCUGCAUGGAGUCGACCUUGAAAUACCACCCUUUAAUGUUUGAUGUUCUAACGUGGACCCGUGAUCCGGGUUGCGGACAGUGUCUGGUGGGUAGUUUGACUGGGGCGGUCUCCUCCUAAAGAGUAACGGAGGAGCACGAAGGUUGGCUAAUCCUGGUCGGACAUCAGGAGGUUAGUGCAAUGGCAUAAGCCAGCUUGACUGCGAGCGUGACGGCGCGAGCAGGUGCGAAAGCAGGUCAUAGUGAUCCGGUGGUUCUGAAUGGAAGGGCCAUCGCUCAACGGAUAAAAGGUACUCCGGGGAUAACAGGCUGAUACCGCCCAAGAGUUCAUAUCGACGGCGGUGUUUGGCACCUCGAUGUCGGCUCAUCACAUCCUGGGGCUGAAGUAGGUCCCAAGGGUAUGGCUGUUCGCCAUUUAAAGUGGUACGCGAGCUGGGUUUAGAACGUCGUGAGACAGUUCGGUCCCUAUCUGCCGUGGGCGCUGGAGAACUGAGGGGGGCUGCUCCUAGUACGAGAGGACCGGAGUGGACGCAUCACUGGUGUUCGGGUUGUCAUGCCAAUGGCACUGCCCGGUAGCUAAAUGCGGAAGAGAUAAGUGCUGAAAGCAUCUAAGCACGAAACUUGCCCCGAGAUGAGUUCUCCCUGACCCUUUAAGGGUCCUGAAGGAACGUUGAAGACGACGACGUUGAUAGGCCGGGUGUGUAAGCGCAGCGAUGCGUUGAGCUAACCGGUACUAAUGAACCGUGAG
rnacentral:rRNA from 1 species